CCUACGGGGGGCAGCAGUAAGGAAUAUUGGUCAAUGGAGGAAACUCUGAACCAGCCAUCCCGCGUGAAGGAUGAAGGGGCUCUGCCUUGUAAACUUCUUUUGUCUGGGGCGAAAAAGCUCGAUUUAUCGAGAACUGACGGUACCAGAAGAAUAAGCACCGGCUACCUCCGUGCCAGCAGCCGCGGUACUACGGAGGGUGCAAGCGUUAUCCGGAAUCACUGGGUUUAAGGGGUGCGAGGGCGGCUUAGGUGAAAGGCUGGUGCUUAACCAUGGAAUGGCCAUUGAUACUGCAGAGCUUGAAUGAGGUUGAGGUUGGCGGAAUGUGACAUGUAGCGGUGAAAUGCUUAGAGAUGUCAUGGAACACCGAUUGCGAAGGCAGCUGACUGGACCUAUAUUGACGCUGAGGCACGAAAGCGUGGGGAGCGAACAGGAUUAGAUACCCGGGUAGUC
rnacentral:rRNA from 1 species